AGUGAACGCUGGCGGUAGGCCUAACACAUGCAAGUCGAACGGCAGCACAGUAAGAGCUUGCUCUUACGGGUGGCGAGUGGCGGACGGGUGAGGAAUACAUCGGAAUCUACUUUUUCGUGGGGGAUAACGUAGGGAAACUUCCGCUAAUACCGCAUACGACCUACGGGUGCAAGCAGGGGAUCUUCGGACCUUGCGCGAUUGAGUGAGCCGAUGUCGGAUUAGCUAGUUGUCGGGGUAAAGGCCCACCAAGGCGACGAUCCGUAGCUGGUCUGAGAGGAGGAGCAGCAACCCGGGAACAGGGAGACGGUCCAGACUCCGAGGGGAGGCAGCAGUGGGGAAUAUUGGACAAUGGGGGCAAGCCUGAUCCAGCCAUACCGCGUGGGUGAAGAAGGCCCUCGGGUUGUAAAGCCCUUUUGUUGGGAAAGAAAAGCAGCAGGUUAAUACCCCGCUGUUCUGACGGUACCCAAAGAAUAAGCACCGGCUAACUUCGUG
rnacentral:rRNA from 1 species